rnacentral:misc_RNA from 1 species
CACAAAUCAAGCAAUGCUUGGUAUUGGGCGCCGCCCUAUCGGGCGUGCCUUAAACCCCUCGGCGUCGCCGUCCGUCUCCUAGCGCAGCGAGAGUAAAAUCCAGCGCCAUCGGGACGGGCCGCGCCCGCCGCAUAAUACUAUUUUUAUA